rnacentral:rRNA from 1 species
UACGUAGGGCGCAAGCGUUAUCCGGAAUUAUUGGGCGUAAAGAGCUCGUAGGCGGUUUGUCGCGUCUGCCGUGAAAGUCCGGGGCUCAACUCCGGAUCUGCGGUGGGUACGGGCAGACUAGAGUGAUGUAGGGGAGACUGGAAUUCCUGGUGUAGCGGUGAAAUGCGCAGAUAUCAGGAAGAACACCGGUGGCGAAGGCGGCCCGCUGGGCAGGAAGGCUCGCAAGAGCCGGCUGACACUGAGGCGCGACAGCGUGGGGAGCAAACAGG